rnacentral:rRNA from 1 species
GGGUUGUGAGGUUAAGCGACUAAGCGUACACGGUGGAUGCCCUGGCAGUCAGAGGCGAUGAAGGACGUGCUAAUCUGCGAUAAGCGCCGGUAAGGUGAUAUGAACCGUUAUAACCGGCGAUUUCCGAAUGGGGAAACCCAGUGUGAUUCGUCACACUAUCAUUAACUGAAUCCAUAGGUUAAUGAGGCGAACCGGGGGAACUGAAACAUCUAAGUACCCCGAGGAAAAGAAAUCAACCGAGAUUCCCCCAGUAGCGGCGAGCGAACGGGGAGGAGCCCAGAGCCUGAAUCAGCAUGUGUGUUAGUGGAAGCGUCUGGAAAGGCGCGCGAUACAGGGUGACAGCCCCGUACACAAAAGCGCAUGUGCUGUGAGCUCGAUGAGUAGGGCGGGACACGUGGUAUCCUGUCUGAAUAUGGGGGGACCAUCCUCCAAGGCUAAAUACUCCUGACUGACCGAUAGUGAACCAGUACCGUGAGGGAAAGGCGAAAAGAACCCCGGCGAGGGGAGUGAAAAAGAACCUGAAACCGUGUACGUACAAGCAGUGGGAGCACAGGUUUACCUGUGUGACUGCGUACCUUUUGUAUAAUGGGUCAGCGACUUAUAUUCUGUAGCAAGGUUAACCGUAUAGGGGAGCCGGAGGGAAACCGAGUCUUAACCGGGCGUUAAGUUGCAGGGUAUAGACCCGAAACCCGGUGAUCUAGCCAUGGGCAGGUUGAAGGUUGGGUAACACUAACUGGAGGACCGAACCGACUAAUGUUGAAAAAUUAGCGGAUGACCUGUGGCUGGGGGUGAAAGGCCAAUCAAACCGGGAGAUAGCUGGUUCUCCCCGAAAGCUAUUUAGGUAGCGCCUCGUGAAUUCAUCUCCGGGGGUAGAGCACUGUUUCGGCUAGGGGGCCAUCCCGGCUUACCAACCCGAUGCAAACUGCGAAUACCGGAGAAUGUUAUCACGGGAGACACACGGCG